CAUAAUCCGUGCGAGCCGCCGUUCGGGAUCCGACGAGAUCCGCCCUGAUAACCGCCACCGCCUCCCUCCUUCGCUCGCCACGCCCCCGCCCUACCCUCUCCCGACUCUCCCCGUCUCCGCCGCCGGGCUCGCCCAGGCGCCGCCGCACAAUUCGCUGGAGACGUGGUGGGAGUCUGUCUCACAGGCGUGGUCCCCAGUCUUGGCGCUGGCCUCAAUCCUCCCGCCGCGGGCCACCCCGCCUGUCGUGGCGCUGGCGGACACGGACCGCCCAGCGCGCUCCUAGCGCACCAUCUGCCCGCGGCGCCGGCAAGCACGGUGCUUCGCCGGACACAUGGGGCGAGGAUGGCCAGUAUCGAGCCAACAACGGACAGUGGCGACUGCUAUUUCCGUCCUUGGACCGGCGCCAGCGGCUACUUCCAUGCUGCACCAACGACAACAGCCAUAGGGAACUGGUGUUCGAUGCCAGCCACCUCAGGCUCCAGAGAGUGGCAAGCUAUUUUACUUUUUCUCUCCAUUCUGUUACGUGAUUAUUGAUGGAUUCCUUGAUCGGUGCCUUGAUUGUAUAACUCAUUGAUCGAUGCCCUGGUUGUAUGAUCAAUUCAUUCUGAGAUUUGAUGCCUUGAUUGCACGCUUCUGUCCGCUAUAGCAGUUGUUGAAUCCAUUGAUAGACAUAUUUCAGUAUUUCAGAUUACUGUUUUUCAUGUUUAGUAUUGGUUCUGGUCUGUGUAUCUGUUCUGUUGCAUAUGCACUCCUUUCUUUUCAGACAGAUAAAGUUAAUGCCUUGUAAGUGAAUAUGAGACUCUUCUAUUUUUAUAGUGCUCUGCAUCAAUUGUGCUUGAUAGGGCCUGCUUAUUAUUUGCUUUUGAAAAAAUAAUGUUAAUGUGUCCAUCCAGGUGCGCUCUCACUUUAAUGGUGACAGAUACUUGACAUGCACAUCUAUUGUUUGAAGGUGGCUUAUUUUUUUCUCCUUGUUAUAUGGCUAAUAAAGCAUUUUACAUCUGAAAGUUAUGUUAUCAUAUGAUUAAUUAGGCAAUCAGAGCUGAUAGGAAUUCAGAAGACUGAGCCAUGAAAUUGGUUUGGAGUUGAGCCAGAUGAGUGCUGCCGCCGGCUUACGACCAAUUGGAGCAGUUGUCUUUAUGCAGUGUGGUAUCCUGAAGAUUUGCUUGAGGACAAUGGUCGACAUGCUGGAACAUACCAGACUUCGUAAGGAACCAUCAAGCACUGGGAAUCGAUUUGGCUUCUGUUCGUAUUUAUUCCAAUACAUGGUUGCCUGACUCUAAAUAAGAAAAUCACCUUGAAUUUGUGACUUCUUGGAUGCAACAACAAAUCGAUCAUGCAGCCAAUUUGCUAGGGAUGCGCAUUAUGAUUGGGGAGUUUGGGUUAUCACUGAAGGUUGGGAAGUUUGAUAGUGAGUUUCCUGAAACUUACACGGAGACAGUUUACAACAAUUUCUUGAACGAGUGAUUGUAGGUGGCUACCUUUGGCAGCUCUUCCCUGAAGGUGAAGAGCACAUGGACGAUGCUUAUGCAGCUUUUAUUGCAAUAUUAUCAUCCACGUUAAAUGUAUUUGAGAAUCACUCAAGGAGGCUAGAAAGUUGAGAGUAUGCUGCUUCCCUACUUCAGUACUUCGUCUAUGAUAUGUUACAAGGGUUUUCUAGAAUUUUGACUUCACUGAUGCAGACAAGUUAAUUAGUACAUUGUGGUAGUUAGAUCUUACGAGUUAUAUAAGUUGAAUCUUGUUGGCAAUAAUUUUGAAACAAUUUUUUUGAAGUUAUAAACAAAGUCUGUGGGCAAUGUGUCCGACUAUUUGUGCAGGACACAAGAAAAAUAAUUUGAAUUUGUUGAAUUCAUAGGCUGAGUUUGGCAUUGAGGUGGAAUAUGAUAAAUCUUUUUCAACAAGCUUUUCUAUUUUUUUAUUUGGCUAACCAACUUUUUCCUAUAUUUUCUUGCAUGUUAUAAAAUAAAUUAGACACAACAUAGUUUAGUAACCCCAACCUGAGGUAUAAUUUGACGCAUGGGCUAUUAAUUUGACCCUGGGGUAGGUCUGCGAAAGUAUUGAUGGUACGGUGCCAGCGUAAGCUGCUCAUAAUUCAACAUGUUUUGAAGUAUUGAUGUUAGUAGCCGGUUGUUUUUUGGUACCGUUUGUUAGCAAAACGCGCCAGGUACCGUUUGUUAUCAAAACUUAUCACGAUCAAUUUUGGGGGCGCCCCUCUCUCUCUCUCUCUCUCUGGCCAGCUAUAAAUAUAGGUACACAUCCCACACCGCAAGUCACACACCACCACCCAGUCGCAGCCAUGACGAACAAGCUCUUGGCGACCUCCCUACUCCUCAUCGCUGUGCUUCUCCUAAUCAAUGGCGUGCAAUCUGGCAAGGUUUCUGGAAAAAAACCACCUGUGUAAUCCGGCAAGAUUCUUAAAAAAAACAAUCUGUCAGAGUGAAGAGCGGGCUCCUUUGCCGACAACGGUAACCUCCUGAGGUGGUGCUCGAGCACGAUCACCCGGCAGUGGCACUACCCCUACGGCGCCUCCUCCCUAGCCGCCAGCAGCCUCCGCCCCACGGGCCGCUUCUCCGACCACCUGGUCCAGCCCGACAUCCUCACCACGAUACUCAACAUGGGAAAAAUUGAGGGCCCGCUGGAGCGCAAGCUGACCAUCCAGAACUACUGCGACGCGUUCGGGAUGAACUUUGUCGGCGGCGGCUCGGGCAUCUUCGAGCCGUUCCUCCUGCCGUUGCCGCACAAGCUCAAGCUACCGACGCUCGCCGCCCAAAUCAACCAGUUCGAGAAGCUCCUCCACGACCACGUCAUCUUGAACUGGCACCUCGACGGCUCCAUCGCCCUCGUCGCCAUCUCCGGCCAUGUCGGGGGAAUGACCCCGGGUAGGGUCAUAACCGCACAACUCUAGCCGAGAUAACGAAGGCAAGGCCGGCAUCACAGAGUACAACUAACGCUGGGCCGGCAUACCCGGUGUAUGCCGGUGCAGCUCACUUGCUUUACGAGUUUGCAGGACAAGGAUGAGCACGUCGGUCUUGGCAGUAGCCGAGAUCCCUCAACGGUCUUAUCCUGGCCACGCGGUGCGGUGUAAAGCGGGGCCAUCAUCACUCCAGGGAAAGCAGUCAGUGCCUGUAUGCCGGUGCCAGGCGACCACGCAAAAGAAGCACCGAAAGGGAAUUUAUGACGGAAGCCGGCAGAGGAUAGCUGUACCCGCUGCCGGCUGGCAGAAAAAGUAAAGUUGCCUUGUCCCCUGCGGUGCUGCCUGGAGGGAACCAAGCCGCGUGUCCGGUGGAGCCCAAGGAUGGUGACGUUAGACUCGGCCCACAUGGCAGUGUACCAUGUGCGGCCUAUAAAUAGAACCUUACCCCUCUGUAGAAAAGAGAGAGAGAACCUCAAGGAGCACCAUUGUAGAACUUCUCUAUCCCGGCUAAUAUGACAAGGCAGGAGUAGGAGUCUUACCUCGGCAAGAGGGCUCCGAACCUAGGUAGAUCUGGGUGUUCUUGCGUGUUUUGUGCAUGUUCUUC